rnacentral:rRNA from 1 species
AGAUUGAACGCUGGCGGAAUGCUUUACACAUGCAAGUCGAACGGCAGCACGGGGGCAACCCUGGUGGCGAGUGGCGCACGGGCGAGUAAUACAUCGGAACGUAUCCUAGAGUGGGGGAUAGCCCGGCGAAAGCCGGAUUAAUACCGCAUACGCUCGAAAGAGGAAAGUGGGGGAUCGUAAGACCUCACGCCCAAGGAGCGGCCGAUGCCGGAUUAGCUUGUUGGUGAGGUAAAAGCUCACCAAGGCGACGAUCCGUAGCUGGUCUGAGAGGACGACCAGCCACACUGGACUGAGACACGGCCCAGACUCCUACGGAGGCAGCAGUGGGAAUUUGGACAAGUGGGGAAACCCUGAUCCGAGCCAUUCCGCGUGAGUAGAAGACGGUCCGUUACGGGUUAGUAAAGUCUUCGUUUCGGACGACGGAACGUAACCGGUUUA